rnacentral:rRNA from 1 species
GAUGAACGCUAGCUACAGGCUUAACACAUGCAAGUCGAGGGGCAGCAUGGUCUUAGCUUGCUAAGGCCGAUGGCGACCGGCGCACGGGUGAGUAACACGUAUCCAACCUGCCGUCUACUCUUGGACAGCCUUCUGAAAGGAAGAUUAAUACAAGAUGGCAUCAUGAGUCCGCAUGUUCACAUGAUUAAAGGUAUUCCGGUAGACGAUGGGGAUGCGUUCCAUUAGAUAGUAGGCGGGGUAACGGCCCACCUAGUCUUCGAUGGAUAGGGGUUCUGAGAGGAAGGUCCCCCACAUUGGAACUGAGACACGGUCCAAACUCCUACGGGAGGCAGCAGUGAGGAAUAUUGGUCAAUGGGCGCAGGCCUGAACCAGCCAAGUAGCGUGAAGGAUGACUGCCCUAUGGGUUGUAAACUUCUUUUAUAAAGGAAUAAAGUCGGGUAUGUAUACCCGUUUGCAUGUACUUUAUGAAUAAGGAGCGGCUAACUCCGUG